GAUAAAUGGCAACAAGCUAGGACAAUGGGAACUCCUUCAGUCAUAAAUGGGAAAAAACCACUUAAUCUCACCUAGACCAAAAUUAAAGUAGGAUGGGGGGAAGAUGGGGCUCACUGAUUCAGAACUGCAAAGAGCAGAUGGGUCCAAAGUCUGAGAACAAUGUUACCGAUACUGCUCUCUCUUCUUAUCCAGUCCUUUUUCUCCUUCUGUGUUAGCUAUGUUCUCCCAGAACUUUCCAAACACCAGUGAAUAUGACUACUAACACUUCCACGGUCACAAAUUGAAAGUUGUAUUCCCAGAGAAGAGCAGGGACUCUUUCUCCUCCAAUUCAGAAGGGCCCUGGCAAGAGUCUAAUUGCCUAGUUUGGGUCACAUAGGGUCAUGUGCUGGAAUCAGUUAGUACCAGCUCCCAAUUCAACAUAUAGCUUGGUUGCUUAGGAUGCUGGUGAUGGUGAGGAUUUGUAUGUAUACCAUAAAAAUCAGCAAAUGUCACAAAUCAGGGCUCUUCUUAACAUUGUUGUUAAGUAUUUAUCAGCACAUCAUUUUGUGUGUCAGGGAAUGCUACACCAUGAUUGAUCCAGGCUGGGUCCUGAGGCAACCUGUCCUGAGCAGCCUCUUAUGAACUUUAUGGUGCAGAGGAGAGUCUCCAGUCAGUGAGUCAGCACUGUUUUCAGAAUUGGAGAGGUGCUGGGCAGAAGAGACCAGCUCAGAAGUUCAUUAUAGGGAAUGAAGGAGAGGGAGGCAUCUAAUAGCCCAGAUCUUGGGGAACUAGGUGAAUGCUGAGUGGAGAUCUGGAGGGAAAUGAUGAGUUUAGCUAUGAACAUGAAGGGUCUGAACAUCUACUAUUGUAAGCAAGGCAAAAUUCCCCUCAAGAAACACACUCUAACAAGCAAGAUGGUAAAUAAUGGGAAAGAGCUGUCCUACAAGGCCUAAUGUAAAUGCCACUGAAGGACACAAACCACACACCUGGACAUUACCUGCUGCUUCAAAUUGUAGGUCCCUGCACUGCUCCUGGCUCUUUGCCAUACCCAGGAAGGUGCUUACUCUACAAAGGGAUUCCACACACACCACACCUGCCCAGGACAGGUGGACAGAAGGAAGACCGUGAGACAGGGCUGUAGUCUACUUAGGGAGAACUUACAACCCCUGUCUUGGUGAAUGAGGAAAAGAAGGCAAAUUGCAUACAGCUGUCAAUGUGAUGUAAGGGAAGGAAGAUUCAUUCUCCGGGAUCCUGGAGAUCCAGAUUCAAGUCCCAAAUCUUCUGCUCAGCAGCAUAAAUAACUGCUCUGAGAGCUUAAUAGCAGGACUACUGUGGGAGGCAGAAUCACGACACAAAAGAUGUCCACACGCUAGCCAUGGACCCCGUGAACAGGUCACUUUAUAUGGCAAAGGGCUUUUGUACAUGUGAUUAAGGUAAAGACCUUGAAAUGGGAAGAUUAUCUUGGAUUAUCCAAGUGGGCCCAAUGCAUCCUUUUAAGUGAAAGAGGAAGGCAGGAGAGUCAGAGAAGGAAUGAUGAGAUUGCUGACUGGGGCCACAGACCAAGGAGUGUGGGCAUUCUAGAAGAAGUUUCUAGAAGCUGAAACAGGCGAGAAACAGAUUCUUCCCCCAGAGCCUCCAGAAGGAACCCAGCUCUGCUGAUACCUCAAUUUUAGCCCUGUGAGACCCCACUGCACUUCUGAUCACCAGAACUAUAGGAUGAUAAAUCGGUGUUAUUUUAAGCCACUGAGUUUGUUUUAUCUGUUACAGCAAUAGUAGGACACAAACACAGCUCCUAAAGACAUUUGAGAAACCUUAGCCAUGCCUGGACCAGGGUGUUCUCAGACCAAGCUGAGCUGGGGGUGCUGAUAAUGAGGAGGAGUUCAUGCCAAAGUUAUUGAACCCAUAUGGUGGCCCAUAGUCAUGCUGUGUUCUGUGCUUCUUUAAGACUGACAAGAUUGGGAUCCCUGGGUGGCGCAGCGGUUUGGCGCCUGCCUUUGGCCCGGGGCACGAUCCUGGAGACCCGGGAUCGAAUCCCACGUCGGGCUCCCGGUGCAUGGAGCCUGCUUCUCCCUCUGCCUGUGUCUCUGCCUCUCUCUCUCUCUCUGUGACUAUCAUAAAUAAAUAAAAAUUAAAAAAAUUAAAAAAAAAAAAAAA
rnacentral:lncRNA from 1 species